rfam:Helianthus annuus linkage group 8, whole genome shotgun sequence.
AGGAGUCAUAUGAGAUGAAAAUCUUAUGUACGGUUCUGCAAUAGGGAUGAGAACAGUGAUGUUAUCAUCUACUAUAAU